UUGAUAAGGUUGUAUCUAACUGUAACUAUGGUAAUUUAUAAGUGUUACCAGACAUUGAUAAGGUUGUAUCUAACUGUAACUAUGGUAAUUUAUAAGUGUUACCAGACAUUGAUAAGGUUGUAUCUACCAGACAUUGACAAGGUUGUAUCUACCAGACAUUGAUAAGGUUGUAUCUAACUGUAACUAUGGUAGUUUAUAAGUGUUACCAGACAUUGAUAAGGUUGUAUCUAACUGUAACUAUGGUAAUUUAUAAGUGUUACCAGACAUUGAUAAGGUUGUAUCUACCAGACAUUGAUAAGGUUGUAUCUAACUGUAACUGUGAUAGUUUAUAAACGUUACCAGACAUUAAUAAGGUUGUAUCUAACUGUAACUAUGGUAGUUUAUAAGUGUUACCAGACAUUGAUAAGGUUGUAUCUACCAGACAUUGAUAAGGUUGUAUCUACCAGACAUUGACAAGGUUGUAUCUAACUGUAACUAUGGUAAUUUAUAAAUGUUACCAGACAUUGAUAAGGUUGUAUCUACCAGACAUUGAUAAGGUUGUAUCUACCAGACAUUGACAAGGUUGUAUCUACCAGACAUUGAUAAGGUUGUAUUUACCAGACAUUGAUAAGGUUGUAUCUAACUGUAAUUGUGGUAAUUUAUAAGUGUUACCAGACAUUGACAAGGUUGUAUCUGACUGUAACUAUGGUAAUUUAUAAGUGUUACCAGACAUUGAUAAGGUUGUAUCUACCAGACAUUGACAAGGUUGUAUCUACCAGACAUUGAUAAGGUUGUAUCUACCAGACAUUGAUAAGGUUGUAUCUAACUGUAACUAUGGUAAUUUAUAAGUGUUACCAGACAUUGAUUAGGUUUAUCUAACUGUAACUAUGGUAAUUUAUAAGUGUUACCAGACAUUGAUAAGGUUGUAUCUACCAGACAUUGAUAAGGUUGUAUCUACCAGACAUUGACAAGGUUGUAUCUACCAGACAUUGAUAAGGUUGUAUCUACCAGACAUUGAUAAGGUUGUAUCUACCAGACAUUGAUAAGGUU